rnacentral:tRNA from 1 species
GGCUCUACAGUGUAGUGGUUAGCAUGUCUGCUUUAUACUCAGAAGGUCCUGGGUUUGCACAUCAAGUGGAGCCA